rnacentral:rRNA from 1 species
CCUACGGGAGGCAGCAGUGAGGAAUAUUGGUCAAUGGCCGCAGGGCUGAACCAGCCAAGUCGCGUGAGGGAUGACGGUCCUAUGGAUUGUAAACCUCUUUUGUCAGGGAGCAAAGGGCGCCACGUGUGGCGCUUUGCGAGUACCUGAAGAAAAAGCAUCGGCUACCUCCGUGCCAGCAGCCGCGGUAAUACGGAGGAUGCGAGCGUUAUCCGGAUUUAUUGGGUUUAACGGGUGCGCAGGCGGAAUGUCAAGUCAGCGGUAAAAUUUCGGGGCUCAACCCCGUCGUGCCGUUGAAACUGGCGUUCUUGAGUGAGCGAGAAGUAUGCGGAAUGCGUGGUGUAGCGGUGAAAUGCAUAGAUAUCACGCAGAACUCCGAUUGCGAAGGCAGCAUACCGGCGCUCAACUGACGCUCAUGCACGAAAGCGUGGGUAUCGAACAGGAUUAGAUACCCCUGUAGUC